rnacentral:tRNA from 1 species
GGUCCCCGUGGUGUAGUGGSUURACCAUGCCUGCCUGUCACGCAGGAGAUCGCGGGUUCGAUCCCCGUCGGGACCGCCA